rnacentral:rRNA from 1 species
UGAGUACAAGAUGCUACGGCAUUGAAGCAGUCUAUGUCAUACUUCCAAGAAAAGCUUGCAAUGUCAUAAACAAAUAAUGCCUGUACCAUAACCGACACAGGUGGGUAGGUAGAGUAUACUAAGGGGCGCGAGAUAACUCUCUCUAAGGAACUCGGCAAAAUGACUCCGUAACUUCGGGAGAAGGAGUACCUUAUUUUAUAAGGUUGCAAUAACAAGGUCCAAGCAACUGUUUACCAAAAACACAGGUCUCCGCUAAGUCGUAAGACGAUGUAUGGGGGCUGACGCCUGCCCAGUGCCAGAAGGUUAAAGAAGUUGGUUAGCAUUAGCGAAGCUGAUAACUGAAGCCCUGGUGAACGGCGGCCGUAACUAUAACGGUCCUAAGGUAGCGAAAUUCCUUGUCGGGUAAGUUCCGACCCGCACGUAAGGCGUAAUGAUUUGGAUACUGUCUCGGAGAGGGGCUCGGUGAAAUAGACUUGUCUGUGAAGAUGCGGACUACCUGCACCUGGACAGAAAGACCCUAUGAAGCUUUACUGUAACUUGAGAUUGAAAUUGGACUUUAUUUGCGCAGUAUAGGUGGGAGACCUCGAAAGUAUUCUUGCGGGAAUAUUGGAGUCAUCAGUGAGAUACCACUCUUAUAAUGUUAGAUUUCUAACUUUGUAUCAUUAUCUGGUCAAAGAACAGUUUCAGGCGGGCAGUUUGACUGGGGCGGUCGCCUCCCAAAUGGUAACGGAGGCGCACAAAGGUUUCCUCUGAACGUGUAGAAAUCGUAUCUAGAGUGUAAAGGCAUAAGGAAGCUUGACUGUGAGACCUACAAGUCGAGCAGGGACGAAAGUCGGUCUUAGUGAUCUGACGGUGCUGAGUGGAAAGGCCGUCACUCAACGGAUAAAAGUUACUCUAAGGAUAACAGGCUGAUCUCCCCCAAGAGUUCGCAUCGACGGGGAGGUUUGGCACCUCGAUGUCGGCUCAUCGCAUCCUGGGGCGGUAGUACGUCCCAAGGGUUGGGCUGUUCGCCCAUGAAAGCGGUACGCGAGCUGGGUUCAGAACGUCGUGAGACAGUUCGGUCCAUAUCCGGUGUAGGCGUUAGAAUAUUGAGAGGAGCCUUCUUUAGUACGAGAGGACCGAGAAGGACAUACCUCUGGUGUACCAGUUAUCGUGCCAACGGUAAACGCUGGGUAGCUAUGUAUGGAGAGGAUAACCGCUGAAAGCAUCUAAGUGGGAAGCCCACCUC